GUCACACUGACAGGCAGCAUGAGCAGAAGCUCUUCACACUAUGGUCUCCCCCCACGCUCCUCCCCGCUGCACUAGUCAAAACAGGCAGCAGUGUCGCCCCUCCAGUCCUCCCUCCCCACUGAAGACACAGCAUCUUCAGCAUCACUCACCCCUCCUUCACGUAUGGGACAGCAAUGCACAGACAGGAAGUCAUGUGAUGUACACCUGACUGUGCACUGACUGGAGGAGCCAGCAGCGACAGGAAGAGGAGCAGCCAGCCACACAGAGGGACGAAGACUCUGCAGAGGCUCAGGCUCCGUAGUUACUACAGCGCCUGCAGGCAUUGUUUGCCGGUUUCCAUGGAAAUCUCCCUGCCGCACCGAGCGUCGUGACGUCAUGGCCCGGCGACACGGAAGUGAGUUGCGGAGGCUGGCGGGCGGUCGAGCCGUGCGGUCAGGUACCAUCACGACAAAGGCAUCCUGACGGUCAGAAUACUGAUGGAUCUUGACGGACAGCACAGGGAUCUUUCAGCAUAGCAGUGCAGGUGUACGUGAGUACAGGUGCAUAGCAGUACAGGAUCACAUCAGUACAAGUUCAUAGUGAUACAGAUUCACAGGUACAGUGGCCUUAACAUCCCUGCAACCCCUUCUGGAUGCUAAUCACCAUCAGAAGCAUUGUUCCCUUAUGCCUGGACCCCUUUAACACACUCUUACAGGUGCCUGUAAUAAACUGCUUC